GACGAAGGAUGCAAGCGUUAUCCGGAUUCAUUGGGUUUAAAGGGAGCGUAGGUGGCCUUGUAAGUCAGUGGUGAAAUCCUGUCGCUUAACGAUAGAAUUGCCAUUGAUACUGCAGGGCUUGAGUACAGUUGCCGUUGGCGGAAUAUGACGUGUAGUGGUGAAAUACAUAGAUAUGUCAUAGAACACCGAUUGCGAAGGCAGCUGACGAAACUGUAACUGACACUGAGGCUCGAAAGUGUGGGGAUCAAACAGG
rnacentral:rRNA from 1 species